UACGAAUGGGGCAAGCGUUGUUCGGAAUCACUGGGCUUAAAGCGUGCGCAGGCGGCUAUGAAAGUCAGAAGUGAAAUCCCAGGGCUUAACCCUGGAAUUGCUUUUGAAACUCCAUAGCUAGAAUACUGGAGAGGUUAGCAGAAUUCCGAGUGUAGAGGUGAAAUUCGCAGAUAUUCGGAGGAAUACCAAUGGCGAAGGCAGCUAACUGGACAGUUAUUGACGCUCAGGCACGAAAGCGUGGGGAGCAAACAGG
rnacentral:rRNA from 1 species